rnacentral:rRNA from 1 species
CAGCACCUCAAGUGGUCAGGAUGAUUAUUGGGCCUAAAGCAUCCGUAGCCGGCGCUGUAAGUUUUCGGUUAAAUCUGUACGCUCAACGUACAGGCUGCCGGGAAUACUGCAGCGCUAGGGAGUGGGAGAGGUAGACGGUACUCUGUAGGAAGGGGUAAAAUCCUUUGAUCUAUUGAUGACCACCUGUGGCGAAGGCGGUCUACCAGAACACGUCCGACGGUGAGGGAUGAAAGCUGGGGGAGCAAACCGGAUUAGAUACCCGAGUAGUCC